UUUCCGUAGGUGAACCUGCGGAAGGAUCAUUAAAAAUGAAGCCGGGAAACCGGUCCUUCUAACCCUUGAUUAUCUUAAUUUGUUGCUUUGGUGGGCCGCGCAAGCACCGGCUUCGGCUGGAUCGUGCCCGCCAGAGGACACAACUCUGUAUCAAAUGUCGUCAGAGUACUAUAAAAUAGUUAAAACUUUCAACAACGGAUCUCUUGGUUCUG
rnacentral:misc_RNA from 1 species